rnacentral:tRNA from 1 species
GCCUUCGUGGUGUAGUGGUCAGCCCGCUCGACGCGUAACCGAGAGGUCCGUGGUUCGAUUCCCGGCUCAGGCG